rnacentral:rRNA from 1 species
GAGUUUGAUCAUGGCUCAGAACGAACGCUGGCGGUAGGCCUAAUACAUGCAAGUCGAGCGCGCCCUUCUGUGUGAGCGGCGGACGGGUGAGUAACGGGUGGGAAUAUGCCCUUCUCUAAGGAAUAGCCUCUGGAAACGGAGAGUAAUACCUUAUACGCCCUUUGGGGGAAAGAUUUAUCGAAAAGGGAUUAUCCCGCGUUAUAUUAGGACUUUGGUAGGGUAAUGGCCUACCAAGCCUACGAUCGAUAGCUGGUUUGAGAGGAUGAUCACUCUCGCUGGGACUGAAACACGGCCCAGACUCCUACGGGAGGCAGCCGUCCGGAAUCUUAGACAAUGGGGGAAACCCUGAUCUAUCCAUGCCGCGUGUGUGAUGAAUGCCCUAAGGCUCGUAUGGCACUUUCGCCAGAUAUGAUAAUGACACUCUCUGGUCAAGAAACCCCGGCUAACUCCGUGCCAGCAGCCCCGGUGAUACGCACGGGGAUAGCGCUGUUCGGAAUUACUGGGCGUAAACCGUACGUAUGCGGAUUAGUAAAUUAGUAGGUGAAAUCCCACUGCUCAACCCUGGAACUGCCUUUAAAACUGUUAGUCUUGAGAUCAACACAGGUGAGUGCAAUUCCAAGUGUACAGGUGAAAUUCGUUGAUAUUUCGAGGAACGCCUGUGGCUUACGCGGCUCACUGUCUCGUUACUGACGCUGAUGAACGAUAGUGUUGGGAGCAACAGGAUCAGAUCCCUGCUAGACCUCGCGUACACGAUGUCUACUAGCCGUUGGGAGACUUGAUCUCUUAGUGGCGAAGCUAACGCGAUAAGUAGACCGCCUGGGGAGUACGGUCGCAAGAUUAAAACUCAAAUGAAUUGACGGGGGCCCGCACAAGCGGUGGAGCAUGUGGUUUAAUUCGAGGCAACGCGAAAAACUUUACCAGGUCUUGACAUCCUGCGAACUUUCUAGAGAUAGAUUGGUGCCUUCGGGAACGCAGUGACAGGUGCUGCAUGGCUGUCGUCAGCUCGUGUCGUGAGAUGUUGGGUUAAGUCCCGUAACGAGCGCAACCCUUGUCCUUAUUUGCCAGCACAUAAUGGUGGGAACUGUAAGGAGACUGCCGGUGACAAACCGGAGGAAGGUGGGGACGACGUCAAGUCAUCAUGGCCCUUAUGACCAGGGCUACACACGUGCUACAAUGGAGCGUACAGAGGGUUGCUAAGCCGCGAGGUGGAGCCAAUCCCACAAAACGUUUCGUAGUCCGGAUCGAAGUCUGCAACUCGACUUCGUGAAGUCGGAAUCGCUAGUAAUCGUGAAUCAGCAUGUCGCGGUGAAUACGUUCCCGGGCCUUGUACACACCGCCCGUCACACCAUGGGAGUGGGUUGCAAAAGAAGUGGCUAGUCUAACCUUCGGGAGGUCGGUCACCACUUUGUGAUUCAUGACUGGGGUGAAGUCGUAACAAGGUAACC